rnacentral:tRNA from 1 species
GGGCCUGUAGCUCAGAGGUCAGAGCAGGCGGCUCAUAACCGCUCGGUCUCAGGUUCGAAUCCUGGCGGGCCCA